rnacentral:sRNA from 1 species
GUAGUUCGAUCGCGAGCGCUGCCGUCGGGAGGCUGCUCCGAGGUUCGAGGCUGUGCCCCGCGACCCCGCCUUCGGCGCUCGGCUCGCAGGAUGGAUCCCGUACCCGGGACAGACUCCGUGCCGCUGGCUGGCCUGGCCUGGUCGUCGGCCUCUGCACCCCCGCCGCGGGGUUUCAGCGCGAUCUCCUGCACCGUCGAGGGGGCACCCGCCAGCUUUGGCAAGAGCUUCGCGCAGAAAUCUGGCUACUUCCUGUGCCUUAGUUCUCUGGGCAGCCUAGAGAACCCGCAGGAGAACGUGGUGGCCGAUAUCCAGAUCGUGGUGGACAAGAGCGCCCUGCCGCUGGGCUUCUCCCCGGUCUGCGACCCCAUGGAUUCCAGCUGCACACGCCGCUUCCUCUGCCUGGGGCACUUUUUCUCUCCUUUUUGUAGCUCAUUCUUCGUUCUCCCUCAGAUGUCACCUUCACCCUUCCCUACCCCUCUCCUCUUCUGGGCCCACAACCGUAGUGCAGCCCU